UACGUAGGGGGCUAGCGUUGUCCGGAUUUAUUGGGCGUAAAGAGCGUGUAGGCGGCCUGGUAGGUCUGCUGUGAAAACUCGAGGCUCAACCUCGAGAUGUCGGCGGAAACCAUCUGGCUAGAGUCCGGAAGAGGAGAAUGGAAUUCCCGGUGUAGCGGUGAAAUGCGCAGAUAUCGGGAAGAACACCCGUGGCGAAGGCGGUUCUCUGGGACGGUACUGACGCUGAGACGCGAAAGCGUGGGGAGCGAACAGG
rnacentral:rRNA from 1 species